rnacentral:tRNA from 1 species
CUCAACAUAGCUCAAUUGGUAGAGCAAAGGACUGUAGUUCCUUAGGUCAUCGGUUCGAUUCCGGUUGUUGAGACAA